rnacentral:rRNA from 1 species
UGCCAGCCGCCGCGGUAAUACGAGGGGUGCAAGCGUUAUUUGGAGUGAUUGGGCGUAAAGGGUGUGUAGGCGGUCUGCUAAGUCAAUUGUUAAAUUUCUCAGCCUAACUGAGAAACUGCUGUUGAAACUGGCAAACUAGAGGAUGGAAGAGAGAAGUGGAAUUCUCGGAGUAGCGGUAAAAUGCGUAGAUCUCGAGAGGAACACCAAUGGCGAAGGCAGCUUCUUGGUCCAUUCCUGACGCUGAGGCACGAAAGCGUGGGUAGCAAACAGGAUUAGAUA